CGUGAAUAUUUUGGCUCGAUUCCAAUUGGGCUGGACUCCUUCUUGAGUGUAAAAUCUAAUAAAAUUGGUUUCAUGUUGAAAGUCCUUCUGGUUGUCGAGAUAUACGCCUUGGACUGAACCUCGGUCGCUGGUACCUCCUAGAUGGCCGGUUUGGACUGUUUGGUGAGACUCUGGUUGAACCAUGGAUUUCGUGACCACAACAAAGAUAUUACGAAUCAUCUAGUUUUGGUUCAUACACGGGAGCUAUCGCUACAGAUUGAAGACGCUUUUCAAGGUGACAUCUCAUGUAGAUAGGCAGUGUAUUGACUCUUGAGAAAUAAUGAUUGGUAUUAUCACAAGGAUGGGAGAUUGUGAUGCCACGCUUGGUCAAACAUGUACAAUAUUCUACGUGUUAUAGUAUUUUACGGAUUAAUAAAAGGGUAUACAUUAUUUUUUUGUUUAUAAAAAGAGUUGAUAAAUUUUGACUAGUGAAAACCAAGAAAAAUAGAUCAUUCAAAUUUAAUAAUAAAAAAAUAAAACGAGUUAGAAAUAUAUGAAAAAAUGUUAUUUAGUAAAAGAUAUAUAUAAUAGUUUAAUCAGUACAAUAUACGUCCAAUAGUUUUAUAUUUAUAUAUAAAUCCUAUCGGCUGAUCCGGUCGGUUCCGGGAAGAAUGCACUUAGUGCUACAGAAUGGAAUAGUCCGAAAGUAUACCACGUUGCAUGAUCCGAAUUUGGAAUACCUUUCGACUAAUGCAAAGGAGUGGACCAAUCAUCUGUUAUAGUCCACCAUGUCAAUCAUCUGUUAUGGUCCACCAUGUCAAUCACUUUGGCCGAAGCCCAAGCCCAAGCUUAUAUUUAUAUUUUUAUAUUUAUGUUUUUCAAUUCCUAAUAUCUUAUCUUAUUAUAUAAAAUACAGUUUACUCUCUCUUGAAGCAUGCCACCAUGUCAUCAAUUAGGUGCAAAAGAGUGCGACACGUGUCCACUUAAACUAAACGCUGAGUUUCAUUUAUUCUGGUGUCCAUUCCAUUUGGGCUUUAGUGUGUAUUCGGGCUUAAUGAAACCCAACCCGGAUAAAGAGUAACUCCAGUUGUUAUGGAAACGCGUUGUUUCUGAUUUAGGGUUCAACACGUUCGUCAUCUCCCCCAUUCGAGAGCUAAUCUCAACCUAAGGUUUCCAUGGCGUUGUUUCAUCUUCUUCCUAACAAUCCGAGGAGCUAUCAGUUACAGAUUCAUCCUCUUAAAUCCACCACCCACGAUCUACCUGUUCUUUCAUCUUCUUCCUAACAAUCCGAGAAGCUAUACAGAUUCAUCCUCUUAAAUCCACCAUCCACGAUCUACCUUGAAUGCGAUCUUCACGCAAGGCCGUGGAACCUCGACUAUAAAAAGACCGGACGCGUACGGCACAGGGGAGGAGGAAAGCGGUAGUGACGGAGGAGAGGAGGAUCAAGGCAAUGAGGGACCAGCCGUGUCCGGUUUGAAUCCGGUUGUUAUUUGUUCAUUGUCUUCCCAUUUACAAGCGACUGGGUUCUAUGUUUUACUUAAAACUCUCGGGUUCACUUAAAACUCCAUUAUAUUCAGCUCCAUGUGCCUGUCAAGUUCUUUCUUUUGUUUAAGGCGGACACCGCCGAAGGUGCAGAGAUGUAUAAGGCCAUCAAAGAGACUACUAAUCACCGCAGGGUGAAGUUCACAGAUUUAUAAUGUGGUCUGGUGGGUGCUCUGUAGAAUUGUGUUGUCUCAGCUGUAGUUUAGCUGCUUGGUGGAGCUUCUUUGGGUGUGAUAAAGCUGUGAGAUCUAGAAGAAACAGAGAGUUAGUUGAUAAAUUUCAUGCGCUCCUUUUGAAGAGUUGUUGCUCCUUAUUGUCAAAUGUGGAUUAUGGUGCGUUGGUUAAAGCUUUUGUUGUAAGCUUGCAAACCGCUAUUGCAACUAAACUAUAGAGGAUAUGGAAUAUGGCCAGGGACGAGCAACAAAAUGUUAAGUUGGUGCAAUCCUUUCAAAGUUAAAAGUGGCUCAUAUCCAUUUAGACACGGUAACAUGGAGAGAGUAGCUUUUGAAGGUAACACAGAUCAUGAUAACGUAUGUUUCUCCAAAUGUUAUUUAAUAAGGAAAUGAAUCCCAUAAUCGAUUACCAAUUAUAUUAAUUUUUUGAAAACCCAAAUCAAGCUUUGACAAAAUAACAAUCGUCACCUACUAGCUUUGAUUUUCUCUAAGGCCUUAAGAUGGCAAUUUUUCUGCUUCUUCCAUAACCACUAAGAAGAAAAUAUGAAGGGUUCAUCAGCAUUGAGUCUUUGAACAAGAAAAAGAGGAAAGUUAAUUAUAAAGGACAUUGGCGAGUCUUUAAAGAACCCGAGAGGAGAUCCUGUUUAUCAACCUAUGUAUUGGCCAAUUCCAUGACGAUUAUCCUCCUAGAAAUUUCUGAUCAUCACUGAAUCACUGUUUCUCAUAUGGCUUUUCGCCAUAGCUUAAGAAAAAAAAAUUAGCAAAUAAAUAAAAUUUUAGUGAAAAGCACAUAAUCUAAUCCAAACUAUAUAUAUAACCAUGCAAAAAAAUAAAAAUAAAAAUAAUUAAAAAAAAUGAAAAAAAGUUAUAAGAACAAAACAAAAAAGGAAAACAUCAAGAACAAAAGCUAUUAUGCAAUUUAGUCAACCACAACAAUAUCUGCUCUCAAUAUCAUAUCAUAUAUGCAAAGAUCACAUAUAACUAAUUUUGAAACUAAAAAACUAUCAAUCCAAACUUAGCUAAGUUAAAAUUCCCGCUCAAAGCUAAAAAUUGACCUAUUUAUAUUUUAUUGCAGAGAAUUCAUGGUAACGUGAAUUUGUUGCACGAGAUCUCUAGGAGAUUUUCAGCUAAAGCGAAAUUAAGCUCUUUAUAAGUUAUCUUCUUCUUGACAUGUUGCGUGAAUUAGACUCUUCAAUCAGUUCAAAUUUUCUUGAAUGCUUAAACCUCAAAGCAAAGCUCAAUAUAUACACCAUAGCCAAGAUAAGUCGCAAAUCAAUGCAAGGAGUGACUGGAGUCUAGGGAAUGCACAAUCAUGUGCUAUGUAGAGCUGUUCUAUCAACAAGAGACAAUGAACAUCAGUGAAAUCAAACUAAAUAGUCGGUUUUAGAUUGUUGUAAGGGUAAGUGUUCUUUUAUGUUUAAUAAAGUGACCACCCGAAUCUAGAGAUCAAUGAACAUUGAUGAAUAUGAUGCUUGCAACUCUAUUCUGUUAUAGUUUCUCUUAUUUACUGCUGCAA